AUUGAACGCUGGCGGCAGGCCUAACACAUGCAAGUCGAGCGGAUGAAGGGAGCUUUCUCCUGUAUUCAGCGGCGGACGGGUGAGUAAUGCCUAGGAAUCUGCCUGGUAUUUGGGGAUAACGUCCGUAAACGGGCGCUAAUACCGCAUACGUCCUGAGGGAGAAAGUGGGGGUUCUUCGGACCUCACGCUAUCAGAUGAGCCUAGGUCGGAUUAGCUAGUUGGUGGGGUAAAGGCCUACCAAGGCGACGAUCCGUAACUGGUCUGAGAGGAUGAUCAGUCACACUGGAACUGAGACACGGUCCAGACUCCUACGGGAGGCAGCAGUAGGGAAUAUUGGACAAUGGGCGAAAGCCUGAUCCAGCCAUGCCGCGUGUGUGAAGAAGGUCUUCGGAUUGUAAAGCACUUUAAGUUGGGAGGAAGGACAGUAAGUUAAUACCUUGCUGUUUUGACGUUACCAACAGAAUAAGCACCGGCUAACUACGUG
rnacentral:rRNA from 1 species